UCGAAACUGGUACCAAGCAUUUCUUAAUAAAUCUCUGCGCAUCCACAUCUUGAAUCUUGUAUAAUGCUGCUGGUAGCUUCCCCUGCACAAAGAAAGUGUAGUGUAGGUAUUAGAUACUUGAUCCCUUCCAAGACGUACAUCAACUUUCGACUCUUGAUUCAUGUUCUCUCACCGACGUGACUUUCUUGUAAAUUUGUGCAGGAUUAGAACAUUCGCUAUAAGGGUACUCCGAAGUAAGCAUCUCUAGGACACACAUGCCAAACGAGUAGACAUCAACUAGCUCAUUGUAAUUCUCCUCGUAUAAUUCCGGUGCCAUAAACUCC
rnacentral:lncRNA from 1 species